AUUGAACGCUGGCGGCAUGCUUUACACAUGCAAGUCGAACGGCAGCGCGGGGCUACCUGGCGGCUUGUGCCGCACGCGUGUGUAUUAUAUCUGAACGUACCCCUAAUUGUGGGAUAUCGUAUCGAAAGUUACGCUCUUAUCCCAUACGUUCUACGGAAGAAAGUGGGGGACCUUUUGGCCUCUUGCUUUUUCAGCUGCCGAUGUCUGAUUAGCUAGUUGGUGGGGUAAAGGCUCACCAAGGCGACGAUCAGUAUCUGGUCUGAGAGGACGACCAGCCACACUGGAACUGAGACACGGCCCAGACUCCUACGGGAGGCAGCAGUGGGGAAUAUUGGACAAUGGGCGAAAGCCUGAUCCAGCAAUGCCGCGUGAGUGAAGAAGGACUUCGGGUUGUAAAGCACUUUUGGCAGGGAAGAAACGGAGGAAGAUAAUACCUUCGGGUAAUGACGGUACCAGAAGAAUAAGCACCGGCUAACUACGUG
rnacentral:rRNA from 1 species